AUCGAACGCUGGCGGCAGGCCUAACACAUGCAAGUCGAACGGGUGGCGGACGGGUGAGUAAUGGCUGGGAAACUGCCUGAUCGAGGCGGAUAACUACUGUAAACGGUAGCUAAUACCGCAUACGAUCAGAUGUGCCCAGAUGGGAUUAGCUAGCGGGUGGGGUAACGGCUCACCAAGGCGACGAUCCCUAGCUGGUCUGAGAGGAUGACCGGCCACACUGGAACUGAGACACGGUCCAGACUCCUACGGGAGGCAGCAGUGGGGAAUAUUGCACAAGGGGCGCAAGCCUGAUGCAGCCAUGCCGCGUGUAUGAAGAAGGCCUUCGGGUUGUAAAGUACUUUCAGCGGGGAGGCGUUACCCGCAGAAGAAGCACCGGCUAACUCCGUGCCAGCAGCCGCGGUAAUUC
rnacentral:rRNA from 1 species